rnacentral:rRNA from 1 species
GACGGAGGAUGCAAGCGUUACUCGGAAUUACUGGGCGUAAAGCGUGCGUAGGUGGUUCGUUAAGUCUGAUGUGAAAGCCCUGGGCUCAACCUGGGAAUGGCAUUGGAAACUGGCGACCUAGAGUGCGGUAGAGGGCAGUGGAAUUCCCGGUGUAGCAGUGAAAUGCGUAGAGAUCGGGAGGAACAUCUGUGGCGAAGGCGACUGCCUGGACCAGCACUGACACUGAGGCACGAAAGCGUGGGGAGCAAACAGG